UAGCAAUAUUCUGUGGUGAGAGCGGCGCAAGGGUGCGUAACACGUGGGCAAUCUGCCGUGAAGUUUGGGAUAACUUGCUGAAAGGCGAGCUAAUACCGGAUGUGACCGUUGGGAGGCAUCUUCCGAUGGUCAAAGUUGGGGACCGUAAGGCCUGACGCUUCACGAUGAGCCCGCGGCCUAUCAGCUAGUUGGUGAGGUAACGGCUCACCAAGGCUAAGACGGGUAGCUGGUCUGAGAGGACGACCAGCCACACUGGAACUGAGACACGGUCCAGACACCUACGGGUGGCAGCAGUCGAGAAUUUUUCACAAUGGGCGCAAGCCUGAUGGAGCGACGCCGCGUGGGGGAUGAAUGGCUUCGGCCCGUAAACCCCUGUCAUUUGCGAUCAAACCUCAUUAUUUAAAAGAUGAUGAGCUGAUAGUAGCGGAAGAGGAAGGGACGGCUAACUCUGUGCCAGCAGCCGCGGUAAUACAGAGGUCCCGAGCGUUGUUCGGAUUCACUGGGCGUAAAGGGUGCGUAGGUGGUGAGGUAAGUCGGAUGUGAAAUCUCGGAGCUCAACUCCGAAAUGGCAUUGGAAACUACCUCGCUUGAGGGUCGGAGGGGGGACUGGAAUUCUCGGUGUAGCA
rnacentral:rRNA from 1 species